rnacentral:rRNA from 1 species
AGUGAACGCUGGCGGCAGGCCUAACACAUGCAAGUCGAGCGGCAGCGCGGGGGCAACCCUGGCGGCGAGCGGCGGACGGGUGAGGAAUUCGUCGGAAUCUGCCUUUUUGUGGGGGAUAACGUCGGGAAACUUACGCUAAUACCGCAUACGUCCUACGGGAGAAAGUGGGGGACCGCAAGGCCUCACGCUGACAGAUGAGCCGACGUCCGAUUAGCUAGUUGGUGGGGUAAAGGCCCACCAAGGCGACGAUCGGUAGCUGGUCUGAGAGGAUGAUCAGCCACACUGGGACUGAGACACGGCCCAGACUCCUACGGGAGGCAGCAGUGGGGAAUAUUGGACAAUGGGCGCAAGCCUGAUCCAGCCAUGCCGCGUGUGUGAAGAAGGCCUUCGGGUUGUAAAGCACUUUUGUCCGGAAAGAAAUCCAUGGAGCUAAUACCUUCGGGGGAUGACGGUACCGGAAGAAUAAGCACCGGCUAACUUCGUG